rnacentral:sRNA from 1 species
GUCGGGUGCAGUGGUGCAUGCCUGUAAUCCCAGUUACUCUGGAGGCUGAGGCAGGAAGAUCGCAAGUUCAAAACCAGACUCAGCAAUGGAGAGUCGCUAAGCAACUCAGUGAGACCCUGUCUCUA